rnacentral:rRNA from 1 species
UACGGAGGAGGCAAGCGUUAUCCGGAAUUAUUGGGCGUAAAGCGUCCGCAGGUGGCAAAUCAAGUCUGCCGUCAAAGACCGGGGCUUAACCCUGGACAGGCGGUGGAAACUACCAAGCUGGAGUACGGUAGGGGCAGGGGGAAUUUCCGGUGGAGCGGUGAAAUGCGUAGGGAUCGGAAAGAACACCAACGGCGAAAGCACUCUGCUGGGCCGACACUGACACUGAGAGACGAAAGCUAGGGGAGCGAAUGGG